UAGGGAAUCUUCGGCAAUGGACGAAAGUCUGACCGAGCAACGCCGCGUGAGUGAAUAAGGUUUUCGGAUCGUAAAACUCUGUUGUUAGAGAAGAACAAGGACGUUAGUAACUGAACGUCCCCUGACGGUAUCUAACCAGAAAGCCACGGCUAACUACGUGCCAGCAGCCGCGGUAAUACGUAGGUGGCAAGCGUUGUCCGGAUUUAUUGGGCGUAAAGCGAGCGCAGGCGGUUUCUUAAGUCUGAUGUGAAAGCCCCCGGCUCAACCGGGGAGGGGCAUUGGAAACUGGGAGACUUGAGUGCAGAAGAGGAGAGUGGAAUUCCAUGUGUAGCGGUGAAAUGCGUAGAUAUAUGGAGGAACACCAGUGGCGAAGGCGGCUCUCUGGUCUGUAACUGACGCUGAGGCUCGAAAGCGUGGGGAGCAAACAGG
rnacentral:rRNA from 1 species